CCUACGGGAGGCAGCAGUGGGGAAUAUUGCACAAUGGGGGAAACCCUGAUGCAGCGACGCCGCGUGAAGGAAGAAGUAUUUCGGUAUGUAAACUUCUAUCAGCAGGGAAGAAAAUGACGGUACCUGACUAAGAAGCCCCGGCUAACUACGUGCCAGCAGCCGCGGUAAUACGUAGGGGGCGAGCGUUAUCCGGAUUUACUGGGGGGAAAGGGAGCGUAGGCGGUUUAGCAAGUCAGAAGUGAAAGCCCGGGGCUCAACUCCGGGACUGCUUUUGAAACUGUUGAACUAGAGUGCAGGAGAGGUAAGUGGAAUUCCUAGUGUAGCGGUGAAAUGCGUAGAUAUUAGGAGGAACACCAGUGGCGAAGGCGGCUUACUGGACUGUAAAUGACGCUGAGGCUCGAAAGCGUGGGGAGCAAACAGGAUUAGAUACCCUUGUAGUC
rnacentral:rRNA from 1 species